AAGAACCCGGAUCGCUCACCAUCCCGAUCAUUUCCAACUCUUCCACUCUUCUUUUCUCCCUCCUUCCUCCUCGGCUAGGGUUUUCAGAGCCCUUACCUAUGCCGCCGGAGUGGGUGGUCGCAGCUUCUUCCUGGAACUAGGUAAGCCUCCCGACCUCGUCCCUGCCUUCUCUCCUCCCGAUCUACUUGGGAUUGCAGACAAAAAGAAAAGAAAAGAAGAAAUAGAGGGGAAGAAGAAGAAGAAACAGAGGAGAGAGAGAAAGAGAGAGAGGAGUACCUGUGGUCGUCGGCGUCGCCGGGCUUCGGCCGCAGCUGCCGUGGGGCCGGAGGCCAACAAUUUCUCUUUUCCCUCUUCCCUAUUUCUGAGAUGAAACAGGCGGUGAAGUUGUCGUCGCGAUCUAGGAUUUGCAAGCGAACCGAGGUAAGUAAUCCUGGCACUAAUCUUAUUAAUUUAAAAAAC
rnacentral:lncRNA from 1 species